GAUGAACGCUGGCGGCGUGCCUAAUACAUGCAAGUCGAGCACAGACGAGGAGCUUGCUCCUCUGACGUUAGCGGCGGACGGGUGAGUAACACGUGGAUAACCUACCUAUAAGACUGGGAUAACUUCGGGAAACCGGAGCUAAUACCGGAUAAUAUAUUGAACCGCAUGGUUCAAUAGUGAAAGACGGUUUUGCUGUCACUUAUAGAUGGAUCCGCGCCGCAUUCGCUAGUUGGUAAGGUAACGGCUUACCAAGGCAACGAUGCGUAGCCGACCUGAGAGGGUGAUCGGCCACACUGGAACUGAGACACGGUCCAGACUCCUACGGGAGGCAGCAGUAGGGAAUCUUCCGCAAUGGGCGAAAGCCUGACGGAGCAACGCCGCGUGAGUGAUGAAGGUCUUCGGAUCGUAAAACUCUGUUAUUAGGGAAGAACAAAUGUGUAAGUAACUAUGCACGUCUUGACGGUACCUAAUCAGAAAGCCACGGCUAACUACGUG
rnacentral:rRNA from 1 species